rnacentral:rRNA from 1 species
GAUGAACGCUGGCGGCAGGCUUAACACAUGCAAGUCGAGGGGUAUAGGUUUUCGGACCUAGAGACCGGCGCACGGGUGCGUAACGCGUAUGCAAUCUACCUUGUACAGGGGGAUAGCCCAGAGAAAUUUGGAUUAAUACCCCAUAGUAUUAUAGAAUGGCAUCAUUUAUAAUUAAAGUUCCAACGGUACAAGAUGAGCAUGCGUCCCAUUAGCUAGUUGGUAUGGUAACGGCAUACCAAGGCUACGAUGGGUAGGGGUCCUGAGAGGGAGAUCCCCCACACUGGUACUGAGACACGGACCAGACUCCUACGGGAGGCAGCAGUGAGGAAUAUUGGUCAAUGGACGCAAGUCUGAACCAGCCAUGCCGCGUGCAGGAUGACGGUCCUAUGGAUUGUAAACUGCUUUUGUACAGGAAGAAACACUCCUACGUGUAGGAACUUGACGGUACUGUAAGAAUAAGGAUCGGCUAACUCCGUGCCAGCCGCCGCCGUAA